CUGAGAUACUAGAAGCUGUGGAUGAUUGGAAACGUCCUCCUUGUUCUUUCUUUAUCAGUGUGCCUCUAUAGUUAUAUGACUAGCUGUGACUUCUUGCUUCUGCCACCACUAAUUGAAGUUCAUCUGUCGCCUUUUUUUCACCCAUGUUUGUCAGCUAUGACGGGGAUUGGAUCGUUGGAAUUCUCUUCCCCUAUCAUCAUUUUUUGCUGUGUUUCAAUGUGAGACACAUGGAGGGUUUUAGUGAAGAUGUAGUUGACACGUCCAGCGCAACUUACAAGAAAAGAGGUAAAGGAAGUACAAAAUUGAAGGAGUAAACACUAUGUUAAGGCACUAUAGAGAGAGUUCAUUUAGAGUUUGGUGGUUGUAAAAGACUACUUGGUCCAAAAGUGGACAAGUUUGUAACUUACAUAGGUCUCAUAACUUGGAGUAAAGUUGGCAUCUUGUAUCGUAAUUGACAAGAAGUACCAGAAGCUAAGAAGGACA